GACGGGGGGGCAAGUGUUCUUCGAAAUGACUGGGCGUAAAUGGCACGUAGGCGGUGAAUCGGGUUGAAAGUGAAAGUCGCCAAAAAGUGGCGGAAUGCUCUCGAAACCAAUUCACUUGAGUGAGACAGAGGAGAGUGGACUUUCGUGUGUAGGGGUGAAAUCCGUAGAUCUACGAAGGAACGCCAAAAGCGAAGGCAGCUCUCUGGGUCCCUACCGACGCUGGGGUGCGAAAGCAUGGGGAGCGAACAGG
rnacentral:rRNA from 1 species